rfam:Nicotiana attenuata strain TT chromosome 2, whole genome shotgun sequence.
UGGACAGAUUAUUGUAUUCGACUGUAUUCACGGCGUGAAACAGGGGAUUACACUGUUUUUAAAUGGAAAGUGAAUCAAUUAACAUAAUAGACUCCA